ACACAUCAAGUGCUUUACAGAUGCAAACACAAUUAUAUAUUCAAACUGCGAACAAAUAUUGUGUUUAAAAUACAACAAAAGAUGUACCUGAGUGAUUCUAUAAUAGGAGAUAUGCACUUGAAAAAGUGUUACCAAGACUUACCAAAAGCCUUGGAGACAUCACCUGGGCAGGUACAUCCCCCAUCCUACAGAGAGACAGAAAACAGAUGAGCUCAGCAGAUACCUGAUCAAAGACUCUUUGUCCACAAAUAGGGUGCCUGUUACUCUUUGUUUUUAGCUCUGUAAAUCCUGAUAUGUGCCAUAAUAGUAAAAAAGGAAACAUGUUUUGUUAAACAUCAAAAAAUAAAACAAAUGUAUGUUUUUGUAUGCUUCAUAA
rnacentral:lncRNA from 1 species